rnacentral:lncRNA from 1 species
GUUCAGUUCACAUCCCACCAUUCAAGCCUGGAUCAGGCCUCAAAACAGCUUCCUGACUCACGUAUCAUAAAAUAGAUUCAUUCCAUUUUUCAUCAGGGUGGGAAGACCCAGCCUGUAUCCCUAAUCAGGCGCAAGAAGUUCUCAAGCUGCACAGGUGAUAAGGGGCCACAAUUACCUGAGAUGUCAGGUGAUCAAAUUUGGCCUACAGUGGGCAGGUGAGAAAAUGACCUGGCUCCCAGGCCUGAUCUGGACCCCUAGCCUUGUUAUAAAGCAGGGGGUGCAAGGAGAAUUAAGCUGAUAGGACACAAGGACAUAAGUGCCCACUCCCCACCAUAUUGACUGAUGACAUCUGGAAGUAUAAAUGCGUCUCGUGGCUGUAACAUGUCGGGAGACAAUGGAUGAGUGUGCUUUUGGGGUGAAGUCAAACUAUCGGAAGGUUACAAUGCCUGUUGUGGCUAUAGAGACCAAUACAGGAGAGACAUGUUUUGUUGCAGCUGAGGCAGAUGCACCAUGGGGUUUUCUUCUCUCUGCAGUCCUCCCAGCAGUUAUUCCUCCUCUGGAUCACUGCUGUGGUUACACGACCUGACUGUCUGUCUCCAAAUUAGGUAGGUGUGGUCCCCCGUCCCCCCCAUGAUUGCUUACUCCUUUGUACAAAAAUAAAAUGCAAAGUCUUUGCCUUGAACAGUUGAACUCACCAAAACCCGCUCUGGAAACUUGUGGUUAUUCCCAUUUUACAGACAGGAAAAACAAGGCCGGAACAAUAAAUGGGCCUCCAGCAUUCAGCACUGUCAGAAUAAUCGGCACAUCAGGGAGAAAGUUAGGGCUGAGCAUGCAAGUUUUUCCUACGUACAGGGUUUUUCUUUCUCAUUUAGCCUCCCGCCCCGCAGUGUGACAUGAUACAGCCUCAACACAGGUCCAAAGGCAGCACUGAUGCACAAUGAUCUCACUUACGAAGGCAGCCUGUGCGAAACAGGAGAGCUGUGCCCCUCCUGGCACUGAGUGGAAUUGCACUACAUGACACACUCCAUCUUUUUCACACCUUGCAUCCUAUGGCUGGCAGAAGCCCAUCUGGGCUGGAUCUGUUGGCAAGAUCUCCAGCAAGCAGAUCUGUCUCUCAGCUGUUUAAUUGAAAUACUUCAUUGUCACUUGUACAACUUGUAUACGGUGAGAUUACACAAGCACCCCCCACUCAGCUCUCUUAGUCUUAAUUCCCCUCGUUUACUGACGUACACCCACCAAACCUGAAAGUCAGUUGCCCUGUUGUUAUCUUUUCAUUCAGCAGCCUAACAGCCCACAGACAGAAGCUGUUCUUUACCCUGUUGGUGCGACUAAUCAUGCGGCCAGGGUGUGAAUCAUCCCUGAGAAUUUCCGUCACUCUCCUGAGGCAACAUUCUUCCGCUAUUUCAUGCAGCGGAUUCACUGGCAGCCCAUAAUAUCUUGUGCUGUAUUCAUCACCCUCUGUAGGCACUUCCUAUCAGAUGAUGUCAAACCAGCGUACCACACCGUGAUGCAGUAUUAAAGGACACUUUCUGUUCUUGACCAGUAGAAGGAGAUCAUCAAAUGUUGAUUGACAUCGUUCUUUCGCAAUAUUCUGAGGAGAUGGAGUCUCUGUUGGGCUUUCUUAACCAUCUGGGUUGUAUUGAUUUUCCAAGUAAGGUCUUCACUGAGAUAAACUCCUAGGAAUUUAAAGGAAGAGACUCUUAAUGAUAGCAGCUGCAAAAUAAUUACCACCUCCCCCCCCCCCGCCUGCAUUAUGUUGCUGCAUUGCAGAAAGCUUAGGGUAGUUUAAGGAUUAGACAACUUCACAGAAUCAUAAAGCUGGAAGGAAUCCCCAGGGUCAUCUAGUCCAACCCCUUGAAAUGCAGGAAUUCUGCCCACAGCUGUCCCAGGUGGGCUCAAACCGCCAACCUUCUAGUUAACAGCCAAGUGCACUGACCCAUUGUGCCACUGGGGGAAGGAGGCAGGUAGCAAUAGGUACCAGCUAACAUGUGGCGCUGUGGGUUAAACCAAAGAGCCUGAGCUCCCGUUGCUUGGUCCCUGCUCCUGCCAACCUAGCAGUUCGAAAGCACGUCAAAGUGCAAGUAGAUAAAUAGGUACCGCUCUGGCGGGAAGGGAAACAGCGUUUCUGUGUGCUGCCCUGGUUCGCCAGAAGCGGCUUAGUCAUGCUGGCCACAUGACCCGGAAGCUGUAUGCUGGCUCCCUCGGCCAAUAAAACGAGAUGAGCGCCGAAACCCCAGAGUCAUCCGUGACUGGACCUAAUGGUCAGGGGUCCAUUUACCUUUAACAUGGCUAUGUUCUCUCUCCACUGUUGUGAGCCUGUAGGCCUCUGAAUUAGUGAUGUAUGGAAGUGAGAGCUGGAAGUGAGAGCUAGACCAUAAAGAAGACUGAUCGCCGAAGAAUUGAUGCUUUUGAAUUAUGGUGCUGGAGGAGACUCUUGAGAGUCCCAUGGGCUGCAAGAAGAUCAAACCUAGCCAUCCUUAAGGAAAUCAGCCCUGAGUGCUCACUGGAAGGACAGAUCCUGAAACUGAGACUCCAAUACUUUGGCCACCUCAUGAGAAGAGAAGACUCCCUGGAAAAGACCCUGAUUCAGGGAAAGAUGGAGGGCACAAGGAGAAGGGGACGACAGAGGACGAGAUGGUUGGACAGUGUUCUCGAAGCUACCAGCGUGAGUUUGACUAAACUGCAGGAGGCAGUGGAAGACAGGAGUGCCUGGUAUGCUCUGGUCCAUGGGGUCACGAAGAGUCGGACAUGACUAAACGACUAAACAACAACAACAACAAGGCCUCUGAAUGCCAGUUGCUGGAAGCCACAGUUGGGGAGAGUGGUUCUUGUGCUCAGGUCCUGCUUGCGGGCAUCUGGUUGGCCACUGUGAGAACAGGAUGCAGAUAGGCCCCUUUGGGCUGAUUCAUCUGCAGCAGCCUUUCUCAACCUGUGGGCCCCCAGAUGUUGUUGAACUACAACUCCCACCAGAUGUUGUUGAACUACAACUCCCAUCACCCCUAGCUAGCAAGGCCA